UACGUAGGUGGCAAGCGUUGUCCGGAUUUAUUGGGUUUAAAGGGUGCGUAGGCGGUCUUAUAAGUCAGUGCUGAAAUAUCCCGGCUUAACCGGGAGGGUGGCAUUGAUACUGUAGGACUUGAGUAGAGUUGAGGUUGGCGGAAUUGACGGUGUAGCGGUGAAAUGCUUAGAUAUCGUCAAGAACACCGAUAGUGAAGACAGCUAACUAAGCUCUAACUGACGCUGAGGCACGAAAGUGUGGGGGAUCAAAACAGG
rnacentral:rRNA from 1 species